CGCUCAUCCAGAGGGGCAGAGGGACACGGCCCGUUGAAGCCCCGGCAACCCUCCAGUCGGUCUCGCGAUCACGCACAUCCGCUGCGUCAGCGAGGUCCCCGGCUAGGGAAGGUGCCAAUUCCGUCUCAUGGCGAAGUGCGCCAUGGGGAAGAUGAGGA
rnacentral:ncRNA from 2 species